UACGAAGGGGGCGAGCGUUGUUCGGAAUUACUGGGCGUAAAGGGCGCGUAGGCGGCGACCCAAGUCAGAUGUGAAAGUCCUGGGCUUAACCUGGGGACUGCAUUUGAUACUGGGUUGCUUGAAUUCGGGAGAGGAUAGCGGAAUUCCCAGUGUAGAGGUGAAAUUCGUAGAUAUUGGGAAGAACACCAGUGGCGAAGGCGGCUAACUGGUCCAGAUCUGACGCUGAGGUGCGAAAGCGUGGGGAGCAAACAGG
rnacentral:rRNA from 1 species